CCAAUAGCGUAUAUUAAAGUUGUUGCAGUUAAAAAGCUCGUAGUUGAAUUUCGGGGUUAGUAGGUUGGUCAUGCCUCUGGUAUGUACUGGUCUCACUGAUUCCUCCUUCCUGAUGAGCCGUAAUGCCAUUAAUUUGGUGUUGCGGGGAAUUUGGACUGUUACUUUGAAAAAAUUAGAGCGUUUAAAGCAAGCUAACGCUUGAAUACAUUAGCAUGGAAUAAUGAAAUAGGACGUUCGAUCCUAUUUUGUUGGUUUCUAGGAUUGACGUAAUGAUUAAUAGGGAUAGUUGGGGGCAUUAGUAUUCAAUUGUCAGAGGUGAAAUUCUUGGAUUUAUUGAAGACUAACUACUGCGAAAGCAUUUGCCAAGGAUGUUUUCAUUAAUCAAGAACGAAAGUUAGGGGAUCGAAGACGAUCAGAUACCGUCGUAGUCUUAACCAUAAACUAUGCCGACUAGGGAUCGGAUGAUGUUAAUUUUUUAAUGUCUCAUUCGGCGCCUUACG
rnacentral:misc_RNA from 1 species